GGGGGGCAACACUCAUUUUGUUUCUGGUGUUGAGUUGCUCUGUUAUUGGGAUGGUAUCAGUUUCCUAUGUUGUGUUUGUCUAGCCACGAGGACCAAAUUUUCUCAAAUUUGUUUGGGCAUCCUCUUCUGACAUAUAGUAAUCUGUAUGUGGGCAUUGCUUGGUUGAUUUGGCUUACCCAGAAUUGUAUGGAUGGAGCUGAGUGGGCUUUCCAUUUCAUUGUGAUAGACUUACGAGCAUAUGCUAGUAGAAUAGAGAUGAGAGCUCUUUCCGCAGUUGUUGGGGCUAAAUCAGUAAUUUGGUUUAGUAGCAUUCCGGAUGGUGUUACCGUAAUGGGGGUGCUGGUUAGAUCAGAUAUAUAGUCCGCUACCUCUGUCCAGAAGCUCGCUAUUUUACUGCAAGUCCAGACCAUGUGGAUGAAGUCUGCUGGGGAUUGGUGGCAGCGGGGACAUUCGUCUGACUGGGAUGGGGAUAUCUUUGCUAGUACUUUGGGUGUGAUAUAUGCCCUGUGCAAGAAUUUAUAUUGUAUUAGCCUAUCCCUUGAGGCCACUAUAUAGUCAAAGAUUGAGUCAAGGGUUUCCUUCCAUUGCUCUUUGUUCAUGUCUGGUAUAUCUAUUAGCCAUUUGUUGUAGAGUUUGUUUAAUAAGGUAUCAUUGGCCAGAGCCAAAAGGGCGUAGGCGCGGGAGAGGGCCUUGGUGUGUGGACAGUUGUGUGCUUGUUCUUCUAUUCGGGAGGGGGUAGUUUGUAGGAUUG